ACAUUGUCACAACAAUUAAGGUGUAAAUCCCCAACCGUAAAUAGAAAGAAAUGUUGAAUCAAGUAACCAAACUAUUGACCUUCUCUCCACACACAAUUGUUUUAAAUGCAAAUUCUAUUUUACCAUUUAUCACAGUGAACAGAAAUUUGUAUAUUUACACAGCAAAGCCAGUGCUUGGGUUUUUGAGGAACUUACUAAGCACUAUAAAUUUUACAUGUAAAUAAUGUACAUAUUAAGAUUUUUCUUAUUAAACAACAAAAAGAACCAAACAAACACUCCAUUUAAACCUUUGCCUACAGAAAUUGAAAAUACAACUGUUGCUGGUCAGCUGAAGGAGAAAGAAAACAUACCCAAAAGCCAGGGCUAACAAAGUAUCUUGCUCCUUGAAAUGGAGGCACAAAUCCAUUCCUUUCUGUAAAGACUAAACACAAUAAAAAUCCUUUGCUGACAAGCGUUUUGAUAGAUCUGGCAUUGGUGACCACCUGACAAUACUUGCUAUACGCUACGAGUUGUCAUGGUGUUAUUAAAAGGCUGAAUUCUGAUAUUUUCCUUUGAUUCUUAUUUUUUUAUUUUCCGUAAAUUAUACACGUAUUUAAUAAAA